AAAGCCGGCCUGAGGGAGCGUUCGCCAGUUGCUGCUUGGGACGCGGGCUGCGCGGUUGGUGAACAGCCUUGCCGUUUUGCUGUCACGUACCUUCCCUGAGCCUGGGACGGAGGGGGCGCGCGCGUGUGCGUGUGUUGUGUGAGGGACAGCGGGACUCGGGCAGGGCCGUCUCCUGAUCCCUUUUCCCUUAGCGGAGGCGGCAGUGCGCACGCUGGUUUGCUCGCCGCCCACUUGGGAGCGGGCUCAGGGUGCGGAGUGCGUCUUCGGUUUUGUUUUUUGGUUUUUUGUUUUUUUUGAACUUGUGAGAGUCUUUUUCCCCUCCCUUUUCCAUUUUUAUUUUCUUUUGGCUCCGUGCCUCUAGGGCUGGUUUACCCGGCCCCUGAAUUACCGCUUCCUGACCCCGGUCGCCAAUCUUGCCCCAGGUUGCUCCCCGGCUCUGCCCCUGCCCCUCCCCGAGGGUGGGAAGCCUUGCCUAGUGGGUCUCUGAAGCGUAGCCGCACCUGCCUCAGUAUGCACGGGGUCAACGACCCUCCACUUUUUAUAAAAGACAUUAAGGCCGGACUGAAAAACUUAAAUGUCGUCUUUAUUGUCCUGGAGAUAGGACGAGUGACCAAAACCAAAGACGGCCAUGAAGUGAGAUCCUGCAAAGUAGCUGAUAGAACGGGAAGCAUCACUAUUUCUGUGUGGGAUGAGAUCGGAGGGCUCAUACAGACAGGGGAUAUUAUUCGGUUGACCAGAGGGUAUGCAUCAAUGUGGAAAGGAUGCCUGACACUUUAUACUGGAAGAGGUGGUGAACUUCAAAAAAUUGGAGAAUUUUGUAUGGUGUAUUCAGAAGUGCCAAAUUUCAGUGAGCCAAACCCAGAUUAUAGAGGACAGCAGAAUAGAGGGGUACAAAAUGAACAGAAGGAUAAACUGAGCACCAAUACAUUUGGACCAGUGGGAAAUGGUGAUCAGACUGGCCCUGAAUCUAGGGGAUAUCAUCUUCCAUAUGGCAGAAGCAAUGGUCCGGGACCUAUCAGUCCACAGCUACCAGGAACACCUAGUAGUCAAACAGUCAGGACCACAAUAAGUAACGCCAGAGAUCCGAGGAGAGCCUUUAAAAGAUGAUCUAAGCCAAAGAGACACAUGUAGUUUUUAAACUACAUGACCUACUUGAACACUUAGUGCACUUUUAUUUAUUCUUAACUGUGAAAACUUUGUCUCUUACGGGUUUCCUUUUAUAUUUUUGGUUUGUUGAAAAGAGUGGUUGGUUUUUACUGAAAAAACUGUUACACUGCUCAGUUACAUCCUAUUGAAGAAUAGGAACUCUGAAAGCAGGAACAUUUAUUUUUUGAGCAAGAACUUACUGGGUAUCACUUGAAAACCUGUCCCUGUUUCGAGGGUGAGUUACUUAAGACACCAGCUUAUAUAUAGCCUCUGUGAGUCUGGCUUCUGCAUAAACUUUGUAAUGUUUGUCAUAAUGUUUAAUGGAACUUGUCUUAAACUUGAAUAUUGCCACCUGAAGCAAUAACCACCCCAAGCCAGAAACUUGGACAGCAUUGUCAACAUUUUUGAGUAUUCCUGAUCUAGGAAUGGCUUGACUCCCUAGAGUGUCUGCCUGCCAUAAGGAUUUUUUCACAGACAGAAUCAGAAUCAUCCUAAACUCUUGUUUAUUGACCAGAUAACCAAAUUCUUCAUCAGAAUUAUGGAAUAAAAUAUGUAAUAUAACAAGUAAUUUUUAGAAGAAAACGGUUUAAGAUGAUGCUCUUAACAUUUGUUGCAAACAUUGAAGUUUACAUUGAAGAAAAAUUUACAACUGAGUCCCUGAAUGCUUUAUUUUUGAAGUUACCAUGUUAAAUAUUGAAGUGUAAUUGGAGGGAUUGAAGAGAGCUAUAACACCUUUAUUGGACAGUGGUCUCAUUGAUACUAGUUGUAUUUUUGAGGCAGGGUCUUUCUCUGUGCAGCCCUGGUUGGUUGGAACUUGUUAUAUAUAUAUAUAUAUCAGGUGGGUCUCUGAACUAUAGAUUGACCUGCCUCUCUCUUCCUGGAGCUGGGAUUAAAGUUGUGUAGCACCACACAAGGCUAAUCUGAUUAUUUUUAAAAAAAUACUCAUGGUAGUUACUAUAGCAAAUACAAAUCAAAUUAAAUUCAUAUAGCCAUGUGACUACCAGUUGCAAGUAGUCGGGUAGAAGUAGGCAUUUCCUUUCUUCCAGGAAUGUGUGUGUUUAAAGUUUUUGAACAAGUCACAUAGCCUUACUAGCAAAAGUUAAAUGGCUCAAGAAGUGAUUAUACUUCUGUUGAGGUGGGAUUUGUGUGAUGGAACAUCACUUACAGUGGGUGAUUGGUAAUUUUUUUCAUUGUUAGUAUUUGUCUCUCCUUAAAUAUUGUCUCUUGAGUAAAACUUGCUGUAAUGAUGACAUAUCUACCUACUUAUUUUUACUUUCAGUAAACAUGGAGAGCCCAGUCCAUUUUACUGAAGUUGUAUUCAUCUUCAGCUUGACUGCUCCCUAACUCUGUACCUGUCAUUUCUCCUUACCUCAUAUUGUAAAAUAAGAAAACUUCUAAAACCAAAGCAAGUGAAAUCCAAACAGUAAUGAAUAAUUGCCUUUCCAGUCUGCUUGGAUACCACUCAUCAAGAAGUUACUGAAAAAAGUGUCAACCUUCCUCCUCUCUGGUGUCUUCAGUUAUCAACGAUGACAAAUUUCAAUAAGACCCAGUGAAACACAAAACAUAAUAUAGAAAUGCACUUCUAGGAUUGGGUCCCCAUUACUGUUUCUAGGCACAGUUCUGGAUUAGAACAAACACAUGAUCAGACUAGCCUUGUCCCUUAUUUUUCUGGCCAGGUUCACAGGGAGUUGCCACAGGAUAGAAAGUAAAAUGUAAAGUCUAAAUGCCCAAAGGCUGAAGUUUGCCUUGCAGAAGUACUUUUAAAGAAAAAAAAAGUUUCAUGUAUUUACUAUGUAUACAGUAGUCUGUGUGUAUGUAUGCUUGUGUGUUAGAAGAGGGCACCAGAUCUCAUAGAUGGUUAUGAGCCACUAUGUGGUUGCUGGGAUUGAACUCAGGACCUCUGGAAGAACGGCUACUGCUCUUAACCCCUGAGCCAUCACAGAAGUAUAGUUUCCCUUACUUUACCAACUCUGUUUUGCUUUUUCUUAGUAGUCUUAGGAACUGUGUUAAACAUGAAGAGUGAUUAAUUUUUAAAGGAUAGUUUGAAGGUUAACUCACUCCUUUUUUAUUUUUUUAAACUUGAGAUUACAUCCCGAGUGUUCUUUACAGUCAGUGGAGUUGCUGAAAUGCUUCCCCUAUUAGGUAUGCUAGUGAGCAUAAUGGCUGUUUGCUUGAAGCCAAUUUAGGUUGUGUGUGACUCGUGAGGUUCUGAUGACUGUGAAAAGCACUGGAAACACUUUCCCAAACAGGCAUGUGCCAAGCUAGCUCUGACCUCACUGAGGUCUUGCCUCUCUUUGUUUAAAGCCUGAUACUUAGUUCUCUUUCUCUUACCCAAUGAAAGUGGUAGAUACAGAGAGAUACUUGGGCAUGAUGAGAUCCUUGUGUGCUGAAACCCUAGACAUUGAUUACAAGUGGGAGUGAUUAAACAGCCCCACAUCUCAUGGUUGUAAUGAUUAACACUUCAGGCAUGUUUCUCUUAACACCUAAUUGUGACCUUUGGAAAUGCACUAUCACUGAUGUAUUAUUAUAUCCCAAGGAAGAAGCUAGAAGAUUGUUUUCUAGGUAUAUUUAAGUUUGCUAGAUGCCUUGAGGUUUGCUUUAUUGGGAAUAUACUAGAAUUUGGAUCAGAAAGCUUUAGCCAAAUUAUGCCAAGUUUUGUUAUGCACAAAGACUUAAUAUUUCUGAAAACACAAAUCAGACUCAAGAUCAAGUCCAUUAAGUUACUAAUAAGCAUUUUUCCACACUAACAUUAGGCCCAAAAGUACUACUAAGACCUAGUUUUUACCUUUGUGAGGUGUUCAAUAUAACAUUUCAACCAGUAGGUCUUUUAGCCAUUUGAAGAGUAAAAGUAUAGAAUCCAACACUUUAUGAUAUACCCCAAACAUUAGGAAGUGGGUGACAGUUCUUUGUUGUUCUGUAGUAGCCUAGUUCGGCAGAUUUAUUGACACACCCAUACUGAAGGGCUAUAGGCAUAUUUUAAAAAGCGGACUGUUUCAAGCUAGAAAUUAAAGAUUCUAUGCCUUCUAAGAUUAAAAACAUCUGGAUCCAAGCUAGGACAGCUUGUUCACAAACGAUGGAGUAAUCUUGAAAAUCUGGUUUUAAGUCCCAUACAUGAAGCUUUUCAGAAGGGUGGAUUGCCACUCUUAUCUGGAAGGGAACUUAGAACUUGCAUCAAACACUCUGGAGAGCUUUGUCUACUGUUCUUGCUGUCUCUCUUUUACAAGGAGGUUAUUUUCGAAUUCUCUGUUCCUUUCCCGUAAAUCUAGAAUGUACUAAAUUGUGUUGAGCAGUGGAAAAUGUACUAGAAGAAUGUCCAAAGCACAGAGUAACUGAAGCAAGUGUUUCUGAGUAGAAAUAAUUAGCCCCUCUACAUAGGAGUGCUGGAAAUUUUGAAUUAGGUUAAAGUAGAAUCACAGAAAUUAGAAGAGCAAAGCUGGGGCUGGAGAGAUGGCUCAGCUGUUAAGAGUGCUGACUACUCUUCCAGAAGUCCCGAGUUCAAUUCCCAGCAAUCACAUGGGGGCUCACAACCAUCUGUAAUGGGGUUUGAUACCUUCAGCUACAGUGUACCCCAUACAAAGAAUAAUUUUCAAAUAGUUUAAAAAAAGGUAAAGCCGAGAUUGUAUCUUUUCCACCCUGACCAUUAUGUUCUGUGGCUUAGCCCAGGAAGUGGAUGUUUGUGUCUUCUGUCAGCUCAAUGAAAAAGAUGAAAUGUCAAAGUGGGGUUGGAAGCAUUGACGUUACUGAAUGCACACAGCACACAUCUUCAGAUUUCAAUCCCACCUUAGGCACAGUUCCCACAUGAGUUUGAAAUAUUUAGCACUAAGACUUCAAGUUGCUGGACUAUUUGGACAAAAGUCAGCACUAGGGCCAUCUACUGGUAAUUACUGUGUAGUUUCUGUGGCUGAAUCUGGUUUAGCCAGUUUAAGGUGGAGAAAGUCCAUUACCCAACAGGAUAAAUUUGAUUUGAUUUAUGAAGGAAAUAGAUGACAUUAAGAAAUGAUCAUAGGAAAUUGGGAAAUCUCCUUAUGAAGACUGCCAAGAUUGUUUUUUCAAGAUUUAAAAAAAAUGGACUUUUACCUGAAUGUUUAGAUGUGUACCAUAUGUGUUCCUGGUGACUGUGGAGGUCAGAAAAGGGCAGCAUAUACCUUGCAACUGGAGUUGAGAUAUUUGUGAGCCGCCAUUUGGGUGCUGGGAAUUGAACGCAGGCUUUCUGUAAGAGCAGCAGGUGCUCUUGAGUCUUCUCCCUAACCUGUACUAAUACUGUCAGUGUUAGUGAAAACUUGCUAAAAAUGGGGUUUUGGUGAAAAUGAAGUAGAACAUGAAGUUCUUAGGAACUAUUUCAUCAGGUUUUUUUUUUUUUAAAUGCCAAAUGACUGUUGCUAUUUUUGUAGUUAUAUGAACUUUGCAUAUCAUAACUCAAAUGUAAGAAUGUAAAGUGAAAACAAUUUUGAGCUGGAAAGAUCUUGAUUUGAGUCCUGUAUCUGUUAUUGUACUAGCUUCAUGGCUGUGAGUCUAUCAGAGGAUAAAGCACUAUUUGAGGAAUCUGAGCCAGUGUAUACAAAGCACGUCCAUGUUCAAGGCUCAACAAAUAUUAAACCCUUUAUAACGAUCAGAAAUAAGAUGAAUACUGUCAUUUCUCCAUACCACUUGGAGAUAAUUCAGAAAAAGGUAAUUGAAUAACAAGAAAUUUAUGAGUUUAAAAAAAUAUUGGAGGUGAGUUACAUGUAGUGUGGGCUGGGCUUGAGCUGUUGAUCUUCCGGACACAGACAAGGCAAGAACUACCGUGCCCAACUCCAAUUGAAAACUUCUAAUUACAAGUUUUUGUACAUUUUCUUGGUGCAGAAAAGCAUGUAUGUUGCUGAUCUGCUGUGACAGUACAUAGGGUUGGCUUUCAUUACAAAGCUCUGACCAACUAGUCAAAUGGAUCACAGCUUUUUUCUCCUUUGCCCAAGAGGGGCCUCAAUCUGUCUAUGAAAGUGUAGCCGAAGAGGGACCUCUUGUGGGCAAACGUUUGGGCUAGAGGACAAGGUCAGUGGGUCAGAGGAUAGGCAGCAGGUACACUAGAAGGCAUUCCUACUUAGAUAUCAUGAUGUGUAUUUGCAGGUGUAGAGCAAUUUGCUUAUAACUACAGCCUUGAAUAAUGUUUUCAACAGUUUUUGAAAAAUAUUGAACUUUACAGACACCUGUGUUCAUUUAAAUUUUGUAUUAGCAUCCAACUUUCCAUCUAUCAGUCAAUCCAUCUGGAACCAUUUCAAACAGUAGAUUUUUCUUGAAUAUUCCAACAUGGCUGUUCAUUGGAAUUUUCAAGUUUCAGGGUAAAUUUAUAUACAACGAAAUGCCCUAUUUUAGGUGCACUUUGUGGCUUUUAGCAAAUGCCUCACACUCACGAAAUACCAUAAAAAUUCAAAAUAGUCACUUGUCUAGAAAUUUCUGUUAUGCUUCUUAAAACCAUAUGAAACUAAAGUUCCUACUAGCCAUCAAUAAAUGUUAGAAGUUUAUUUCAAA